UACGAAGGGUGCAAGCGUUACUCGGAAUUACUGGGCGUAAAGCGUGCGUAGGUGGUUCGUUAAGUCUGAUGUGAAAGCCCUGGGCUCAACCUGGGAAUGGCAUUGGAAACUGGCGGGCUAGAGUGCGGUAGAGGGUAGUGGAAUUCCCGGUGUAGCAGUGAAAUGCGUAGAGAUCGGGAGGAACAUCCGUGGCGAAGGCGACUGCCUGGACCAGCACUGACACUGAGGCACGACAGCGUGGGGAGCAAACAGG
rnacentral:rRNA from 1 species